rnacentral:rRNA from 1 species
GCGUGAAGUCGGAAUCGCUAGUAAUCGCGGAUCAGCAUGCCGCGGUGAAUACGUUCCCGGGCCUUGUACACACCGCCCGUCACACCAUGAGAGUCGGGAACACCCAAAGUCCGUAGCCUAACAGCAAUGAGGGCGCGGCCGAAGGUGGGUUCGAUAAUUGGGGUGAAGUCGUAACAAGGUAUC